GUUUCACUCGCUUUGUAAAAGGGAUAAAAUAUUUUAAAAAAGUCAACAAAUAUAGAAUGGGGGUUGUAUUCGAUAAUCCUAACAUGGCUAAUUCAUUCUUGGACAAUGCUACUUUCCAUAGAGAACAUCGCAUCACUGCUUCUAUUCCGGCAGCGGUUACAGAAAUAACUGCAGGCCAAUUCUGCUAUUUGUUAACCGAAACAGAUCGGCUCCGUUUCGCCUUGGUUACAGUUGCGUUUGUAAUGUCAAACGGUAUUCCAGUAACUUUAAGUUGAUAGCUAAAGCGCAAAUGAAACGGAAGCGGUUGGUUAUAGAGUCGCUUAGGAAAGGGUUACGGUGUUGCAACUCAAAAAAAAAACAGUUGCGCGUACAUUGCUGCUUUUGUAAUAAAUUUCCAAGAUUUUUGGCUGUAUGAGUAUUUUGCUCAGUGUUUAAAAAGGUUACGCUUAGUUCGAAGUUGACAUUGACAAGUAUCAAGUUUGUUUUGCGGUUUGUUUUGAAUUCACGAAGCGGCAAGCGAAAAUUUUUAACAAAGUAAGUUUUUUUUUAUUAUUAUAAAUUAUAGUUAGUCACAACACAUUCAUACGUUCUACUGCUGAGACGGAUCUCUGUUCAUUCAAAGAGGUUUGGGCUAUAGGCCACCACCACAUAAACCGGCAAAUAAUAGAACUUAGAAUUUUAUCUUGUAAAAUCAUCAUAUCAAAUUUCGUUCGUAGAUAAAAUGUCACAAAACUCGUCUGCACUAGCUGGCGGUAGCAGAAGAAUAACUUCUGUAAGGCAGUUCGAGCUGUUAGUACAUUUUAUGGAGUGCCAUAAAGAUUUGGCACUUGGUCGUGUACACAGUAAAGAGGCACGGGCACUUGCUUCUCGCCUGUGGAACGAGUGUGCCACUAUUUGCAAUGCUGAGGGCACAUACAGAAAACCCAAGGAAUGGAGCCGUUACUGGAAUGAUUUUAAAAGCAGGGUGAAAUCAAAAUUGCUUACCAUAUGCCAAAGUGUGGGUGGGACUGGAGGAGGACCGGCUACAAAUAUCUGUUUGAGCCCUAUAGAGGAUAGAGUGGCAGCAAUAUUAGGACGAGAUGUUGUCACUCCAUUGCAGGGUGUUCAACAAAAUCCCUUUUUGUCUCAGGUAAUUUAUGUAUACAAUAAAUGUUGGUUUGUUAUGUUAGUUUAAGAGUUAUUUAUUAAGUUUUGAUUUUCACUGUAGAACACUAUUGCUGAUGAACAACAACCUCAAGAGUUGUUGAGUUAUAUGAGGGACAUCGAAAUUGAGUGAGUAAACUAACAUUGUUGUGACCUCUUUUGUGCCAGAGCUUUUUUUUGGCGGCUGGCAACACUGGAGAUUACUUGUCAAUUUGAUAGCUCCGUAUUUAAUAAUUGUAAAUAAAUAAUAAAAGCAAAUAAAUCUUUACAAUACAAAUAAUAAUUAAUAAUAACAAUUCAGUGAAUAUAUUUGUAGAUAUUUGUGUGCAAUAAUUAUAUGUAUUUUCACGACAAAUAGUGUUGAAAGUUAUCUUUGUGGUUACCGGUGUAUUUGUGUUUGUUGUGGAUUUCUUUCUAUUUUUACAAGGUAAUCACAGUCUAUUACAUCAUUUAAUACAAGUUAGAACACUAUUAUCUCGUUUUGCUGGACACUUAACUUACUUUGUCUUGAUACUUUCGAUAAAAUAUUUCUUAGUAGGUAGUUCGUAUUUAAGGUUAGGUCGGUUGGUUUACUGGCUCGAAAUUGGAAACAAAUCGUUCUUUCUGCUCCCUGUAUUAGUCCCUUUUUUGUUCAAAAUGUCUUCCUCAAGUCGUGCUGUGACAGCUCGUCAACUUGAAACUGAGUUAAAGGCAACUUUACUCAAACUGAAGACCGCGGAGGAGGAUAAGGAACGUUUAAUUUUGGAAAGGGAGGAGAACGAACACCUGUUCGUUUCUUUAUUAAAUAACAAUACUCAGCUAAAGCGUGAGUUGUCAGAAAGUAAAAUUUAUAGUGAUAGUUUGAAUGAGCAGCUUAACCACCUUGAGUUAGAGUUAGGAUCUUUCCGUCAAUCUACUGAGAUGUAUGAAGAUAUCCUCAUGCGGAACACUACACUAGAAAAAAGACUGGGAGAGGCACAAAGGCAAAUUGAUAGUUAUGAACAAGCUGUCCCACCGAUUCAGUCACUGGAAAUUAACAACCAAUAUAACCUCGUUGUUGUUGCGUCUGCCCCUCUCUCAUCUAACUCCCCAGCAAUAGCUUUUGCAAAUAAAUCAUCAUUAUGUAGUAAUUGUAAUAAUAAUAAAUGUAAUCAAAGAAUAAGUCAUAAGAAAUUUAAAAAACUUAAAAAGUUAAACAAGAUUAUAAAGAAAAAUAACUUACAGUUAAGAAUAAAUACUAAUAAAUCCCGUUUGUUGAAAUCUGGAUUCAAAAUGUUCAAUGAUGUUUCCUCUCAAUUAGCACUAACAGAAAGUAAAUUGGCGGAAAGUCAGGAGUUGUACUGUGCCGACAUAGCCAGACUGAAAUCUUACAUCACAGAACUUGAAGAGCGAUGCUCCAAUCUCAUGAAGACAAUUGAUUCAUCAUUGCAGGCAGUCACCGAACAUGUGAUUGAUAUGGAGUCAUUGAUUGAAGAAAAUAGGUAUAUUGGAGAGAAACUUCACUCUGCAAGUAACUUAUGUACCUGUGGCGCGUUUAACCAGCCCGAAAUCAGUGACUCCCUACCAACUCUCUCUCCAUGUGAAGGUGAUUUGCAUAAAUAUACUAGGCCUGGCUGUGCUGACGCGGAUGACUCUCAUAAUACUUUAAUAUUUUCUGAUAGUGUAGGGCGUAAUAUGGGUUACUUGUUCAACCAACACCUAGAGAAUGUUACAAAUUAUUGUCUGCCUAAUGCAUCCUACACCCAUAUAAUAGAGAGUAUCAGAGCGACUACUUUUAACAGAAACUCAACCAUAGUACUCCUUAUAGGUAACUGUAAUAAUUUAUGUAAAAAAGAUAUUAUUUGUGGUCUUGAUAGUUUGAAUAAGUUAAAUGUAUAUAAAGUUAUAAUUUGCGCCUUCCCAUAUCUUAGUUGCCAGCCUCCAUCAAAGAAUAAAAACAUUCACUAUUUUAAUAAUUUAACAUACUGCGACAUGUUGUCAUGAUAGUAAAUUAGUUUUCUUUGACACUAAUAAUUUAUUGGUGAAUGUUUAAUGACUAAAGAUAAGAAUAUUUAUCUCUCAAAGUUUCAUAGACGGAAACUUGCUACAUUGGUAGCUUAUACUGUAGGUGUAUUGUAUGCGUAUCUAUGUGUAUGUGUCUCGAGCGCAUUAUAAACUAUGUAUGCUAGAAAUAUGAGUCUUGUUACUGGUGCGGGCUUAGCGGCGUGACGUGCCGAAUAAAGUGCUAUCUAUUUUC